UGUGUUCGACACCCAUAGCCACAAUCAUCCUUUUCUUUCUUUGUUUUCUUGUUUGCCAAUACGCACACAUCCCAGAAAGAUGAAGAAUUCGUCUCCCUCCUUACUUCAACCGGGGUCGAUCUCGUUGGUCAGUGAUUCCGUGGACGGCGAUGAUAACGAUCAGAACAACAAUAGCAACAGGAAUAACAACAACAACACUACUAGAAACAAAUCGGACAACGAAGACACCAAUGCGGAAGCGAUG
rnacentral:rRNA from 1 species